CAGCCGCCACGGUAACACGUAGGGUGCAAGCGUUAAUCGGAAUUACUGGGCGUAAAGCGUGCGCAGGCGGUUUUGUAAGACAGAGGUGAAAUCCCCGGGCUCAACCUGGGAACUGCCUUUGUGACUGCAAGGCUAGAGUACGGCAGAGGGGGAUGGAAUUCCGCGUGUAGCAGUGAAAUGCGUAGAUAUGCGGAGGAACACCGAUGGCGAAGGCAAUCCCCUGGGCCUGUACUGACGCUCAUGCACGAAAGCGUGGGGAGCAAACAGGAUUAGAGACCCGGGUAGUCCCUGUCUCUUAUAC
rnacentral:rRNA from 1 species